AUGCCCUACGCAAGGUAUCACCGAGUAUGAGUUUUGGCACGAGCUAAAGUUUUAAGAAAUUCAUAAGCCAAGUUGAUUACUUGAUUUAUAUGGAUUGAUUUUAUUUGGUUGAAAUGAACUAAAAGGUAAUGAAAUUACAGUAUGAUGACUUAUUUUAAUUGUCUCCAUUUACUCGGCUUUAGAUACUUUAAAUGGUAUCUGUUUACUCACUAGGAUUAUAAAAUCUCACCCCUUCUUCCUAUACAUUUUUCAUGCUCAGGACAGUUUGUAGAUAGUCGAGUAGGACGAGAACUAAACUCGGAACUGCAUUAUAGAAAGUAAGAGUUCACAAUCUUACAUCCUCUUGGUCAAUUGGGGCCCACGUGUCAUUGCAGAUCAAAACUUAUAUUUUGGUUAUCUGUAUUUCUAUUCAUACAAUUUUUACUUUACUUUCAUGUGCGAAAAAUU
rnacentral:lncRNA from 1 species